GCUCCGCCCUGGGAUGGGCCCGCGUCCCAGGAGGUAGUUGGUAGGGUAAAGGCGUACCAAGCCAGAGAUGGGUAGCCGGCCUGAGAGGGUGAACGGCCACAUUGGGACUGAGAUACGGCCCAGACUCCUACGGGAGGCAGCAGCUAAGAAUAUUCCGCAAUGGGCGAAAGUCUGACGGAGCGACGCCGCGUGGAUGAGGAAGGCCGAAAGGUUGUAAAAUCCUUUUAUUGCGGAGGAAUAAGCGGGGGAGGGAAUGCCCCCGUGAUGACGUUAAGCAAUGAAUAAGCCCCGGCUAAUUACGUGCCAGCAGCCGCGGUAACACGUAAGGGGCGAGCGUUGUUCGGAAUUAUUGGGCGUAAAGGGCGCGUAGGCGGUUAUGUAAGUCUGGCGUGAAAUACUCUAGCUUAACCAGAGAACGGCGCUGGGAACUGUAUGACUAGAGUCAUGGAGGGGGAGUUGGAAUUCCAGGUGUAGGGGUGAAAUCUGUAGAUAUCAGGAAGAACACCGGUGGCGAAGGCGAACUUCCAGCCAAUGACUGACGCUGAGGCGCGAAA
rnacentral:rRNA from 1 species